AUUAAAAAAAAUGCUUUUGUAAUGUUGAGAAACACUGAAAUUAUUAUUCAUAAAAAACUUUCAACCACUGUUCUGUGAUGUCACGUAUAGUGAUAUACAAAUAUAUCUGAAGGAAAGGUGUAUUUGGGAUAAUCAAUAUUAUUAGUAUUAUUCAUGCAUUUAUUCAUUUUUAAAUCAGAGAAUGGGGGAAAAUAGAUUAUUAGUACAAAAACUAGUAACUAGUAAAAAAAAAAUUGGUAACAAUAAUGUUCAUUCAUUAAUUGACGCUUGGUCAAACUCUCAUCUAAUUAAGUAUUGCUGUCUCAUUAAUGUAUUAAUGUAUUUAUUUAUUUUGUCGGCUAAAACCUGAGGAGAAGAAGAAGAUGACUUUAUUAAUCCCACAAUGGGGAAAUUCAACCUCUGCAUUUAACCCAUCCUUUUUUACACACAAGUGAACACACCAUGCAAGGAGCAGUGGGCAGCACAUUACUGCGCCCGAAGCUAUCACCAUGUUGUUUUUUCACAUCAGAAUAAGUAUUUCACAUGAUGCAGAUCUUUCAGCAUGUGGUCCUCAAUAUAUAGUAUAGAAGUCACUGUAUUUUCUGACUUUUCCAGGUUUCCUGUGUCCAGCAUCUUCAAGACAGACUAAGCUAACUUUUCAUAUUUUUUGCACAUUUAUAUUUAGGUUAGGUUUAUAGUAGAGUAUUUAGUUUGUAUAGUUUAGCUUUUUAUGCUGGUCUAGGGACAGUUAAGUUAGCAAAUUGAUUUAGUUCAGAUCACUUACAGUUGCAUAUUAUUGUUACAAUUGUGUUAUUUUGUGAGUUAUUGUUGUACAGGCUAUUGUAUAUUGCAGGACCAAGUGAGACGAGGAAGACCACUGCUUCCAAGAUGCCGCGCUCAGAAAGUGCGUUGGACAAGUCUCGACCUUGCAGAUCCUGCCCCACUGAGCCCAACCACUUCCGACCAUGGGGUACCUCAAAGACCUCCGUCAACCAGCCGGCUGUGGAUGAUGGAUAACGCACCCACAACUCCUUCUCCAGUCUACAAGACACCCCCACAGUCCAAGAACAGCUGGAUGACCUCUGGACCCACUUGCCCCCGUUCACCAGUUGAAAAGAUAGGCUUUUUAAAAAAUUCUUCAAUUGUUAAUUCUGCACAAAGUGAUACACAAAACAUUGUAUGUCUUCCAUUUCAACAAACACAAACAUGAAAUGUAUAUUUCAAUACAUAACUUAAUGCAAAUCAAUCAUACUAAACAUCAUCUUUUUUUUUAAACCAA